CUCUGUCGUGGGGGAUAACGUAGGGAAACUUACGCUAAUACCGCAUACGACCUACGGGUGAAAGUGGGGGACCGCAAGGCCUCACGCGAUAGAAUGAGCCGAUGUCGGAUUAGCUAGUUGGCGGGGUAAAGGCCCACCAAGGCGACGAUCCGUAGCUGGUCUGAGAGGAUGAUCAGCCACACUGGAACUGAGACACGGUCCAGACUCCUACGGGAGGCAGCAGUGGGGAAUAUUGGACAAUGGGCGCAAGCCUGAUCCAGCCAUACCGCGUGAGUGAAGAAGGCCCUCGGGUUGUAAAGCUCUUUUGUUGGGAAAGAAAUCCUGUUGGCUAAUACCCGGCAGGGAUGACGGUACCCAAAGAAUAAGCACCGGCUAACUUCGUGCCAGCAGCCGCGGUAAUACGAAGGGUGCAAGCGUUACUCGGAAUUACUGGGCGUAAAGCGUGCGUAGGUGGUGGUUUAAGUCUGUUGUGAAAGCCCUGGGCUCAACCUGGGAAUUGCAGUGGAUACUGGAUCACUAGAGUGUGGUAGAGGGUGGCGGAAUUCCCGGUGUAGCAGUGA
rnacentral:rRNA from 1 species